rnacentral:rRNA from 1 species
GUGGGGAAUUUUGGACAAUGGGCGCAAGCCUGAUCCAGCAAUGCCGCGUGCAGGAAGAAGGCCUUCGGGUUGUAAACUGCUUUUGUACGGAACGAAACGGUCCGGGUUAAUACCCUGGGCUAAUGACGGUACCGUAAGAAUAAGCACCGGCUAACUACGUGCCAGCAGCCGCGGUAAUACGUAGGGUGCAAGCGUUAAUCGGAAUUACUGGGCGUAAAGCGUGCGCAGGCGGUUUUGUAAGACAGGCGUGAAAUCACCGGGCUCAACCUGGGAAUUGCUCUUGUGACUGGAAGGCUGGAGUGCGGCAGAGGGUGAUGGAAUUCCGCGUGUAGCAGUGAAAUGCGUAGAUAUGCGGAGGAACACCGAUGGCGAAGGCAAUCCCCUGGGCCUGCACUGACGCUCAUGCACGAAAGCGUGGGGAGCAAACAGGAUUAGAUUACCCGGGUAGUCC